rnacentral:rRNA from 1 species
AAACGACUCUCGGCAACGGAUAUCUCGGCUCUCGCAUCGAUGAAGAACGUAGCGAAAUGCGAUACUUGGUGUGAAUUGCAGAAUCCCGGGAACCAUCGAGUCUUUGAACGCAAGUUGCGCCCGAAGCCUUUAGGCCGGGGGCACGUCUGCCUGGGUGUCACGCACGGU